rnacentral:lncRNA from 13 species
AUGGCCGUGAUGAUUGGAAUCACUUUCAGAGUUUCUUGGUUUUGUUGCCUGCUAAUUGGCGGGAUAACCUGUUCUACAUCAAGCUCACCUAGGUCUAAAGGAUAUGGAAAUGACAUCUCUCCAACAGCUCAAUUGCGAGCGCAGCUGACCGAAGAGCAACAGAAACAUCUGGCCUCCAUCCUGCAAAAGCAACUGGCCCCCAUGCCCCAGGCACCUCAGGAAAUGUGGUAUCCAACUCAAAUGCCCCAGCAGGAAAAGCAACUGGCCGCCAUGACCCAACAGGAGACUCUACCGGCCAGUUAUCCUAAGCAGCCUCAAGCAGUGUUGUAUCCAGCUCAAAUGCCCCAGAAGCAACCAGCUACUGAACGUCAGCAUCAGAAGGAACAGGCCAUACCCCAGUUACCUCAGCAAGUGUGGUAUCCAGUUCAAAUUCCCCAGCAGCAAAAGCAACCAGCUACUGGGCCUCAGCAGCAGACGGAACUGACCACCAUGCCCCAGAAGCAACCGGCUCCAAUGGAUAUACCGCAGAAACAACCAACAGCUAUGCCACAGAAAACAUGGUAUCCAGCUCAAAUGCAGCAGAAGCAACUGGCCACCAUUCACCAGCAAGUGUGGCAUCCAGCUCAAUUGCCCCAGGAGCAAAAGCAACCAGCUACUGAACCUCAGCAGCAGAAGGAACCGGCCGCUAUAAGCCAGCAACCUCAGCAAGUGUUGCAUCCAGCUCAAAAGCCGCAGAAGCAGAAGCAACCCUCCACUGAACCUCAGCAGCAGAUUGACCUGACCGCCAUGCCCCAGCCCCAGCAAAUGUGGCAUCCAGCUCAAUUUCCCCAGGAGCAACCAGUCCCUAUGCAUCAACUGCAGAAGGAUCUGACCGCCAUUCCACCACAACUGUGGCAUUCCGCUCAAAUGCCCCAGCUGCAUAAGCAACCGGCUGCCAUGCUUCAGCAAGUGUGGCAACUGGCCCCCAUUCCCCAGCAGCCUCAUGACGUGUGGUAUCCAGCAAAAAUGGUCCAGAAGCAACAAGCCGCUGCAACUCGGCGGCAGAAGGAACUGACCACCAUGCCUCAGCAAGUGUGGUAUCCAGCUCAAAUGCCCCAGGAGCAGAAGCAACCGGCCACCAUAACGAAACAAGAGUUGCAUCCAGUGCACGUUCCCCAGAAGCAACAGGAACCGGCCACCAUACCCCAGCAAGAGUGGCAUCCAGCUCAAAUGCUGCAGACGCAACUGGCCCCAAUGCCUAUCCUGCAGAAACAACCAACAGCUAUACUCCAGCAAGCAUGGUAUCCAGCUCAAAUGUCCCAGCAGCAGAAACUGGCCACCAUGCUGCAGAAGCAACCAGCCCCAAUGCCUCAACUGCAGAAGGAACAGGCCACCCUGCCCCCGCAAGUGUGGCAUCCAGCUCAAAUGCCACAGCAGCAAAAGCAACCAGCUACUGAAACUCGGCAGCAAAUUGAACCGACCGCCAUGCCCCAGCCACCUCAGCAAGUGUGGCAUCCAAAUCAAUUUCCCCAGGAGCAGAAGCAACCAGCCCCUAUGCAUCUACCGCAGAAGGAACUGACUGCCAUACCCCAACAACUGUGGCAAACGGCUCAAAUGCCCCAGCAGCAUAAGCAACCGGCUGCAAUGCUUCAGCAAGUGUGGCAUCUGGCACAGAAGCAACCGGCCCCUAUGCCCCAGCAGCCUCACGGUGUGUGGUAUCCAGCUAAAAUGGUCCAGAAGCAACAAGUCGCUGCACUGACCGCCAUGCCGCAGACGCAUCAGCAAGUGUGGCUUCCAGCCCAAUCUCCCCAGCAGCAGAAGCAACCGGCCUCCACCCCUCUACCGCAGGAGCAGCCGACCGCCGUAUCCCAGCAAGUGUGGUAUCCAGCUCAAAUGUCCCAGCGGAAGCUACACACUGCCAUGCCACAACAGCAACUGACCGUCAUGCCUCAGCAGAAGCACUACCAAAGCACUGAAGAUGGUGCUUCUGGUAGCGCUCAGGCCAGCAUCGUUGAACAGUUGGGUGUCAUCCCAAUCUAUUCCUACAGUUCCAAAUCGCACUACGCGAAGGGCAGAACGAUCUUUUCCCAAAUCAGCUACACUCCUAGGGAGGCUAUUUCUGACAGUGGAAAUGCUCCCAAGGACGGUUAUGUUAGCUUUGGUGCACCAAGCAUAUAUCCACCACUAGUGAAGGAUUCUGCAAGGAAAAUGUAAUGGAUUCAUCCUCUAGAAGCUCUAAUGGACGUUGCUGGUGCUCUUGCUGCUCUAGAGUUAUGGAGUACAUCAACAAUUUUACUUUAAAAAAUGCCUUGUCUCUUUGAAACAAUGAUUCUCGUGUCCAUUGCGAAUUGAGAACAGGUGGUGUGCAGUCUUGUAAAAAUGACUGUUCAGUUAAAUCUUUGCUUGUUCAUCUUUUACCUUUGCUACUGGUUGUUCAAAAUAAAAGCUUGUCUACAUUAGAGCAUUUGUGAAGGGGUGAGUUGUUAGACAUUCAUCAUAUGUUCAUACUUUAGAUGUAGUCAUGCAUUGUAUACAGUGAGACUUCACUUCAACCUCAGUGUAAGUUGUUGGUGAGUAAAUUAACAUAUAGGAAAUUGUUUUUAGAUGGUCAGACCAUGGCUCAUUUAGCUAUUAGAAUUGAGUGAACUUCUUGGUUUCAAACUUGCAUUUGGCCUUCUACUAUAGCCCACACCACAAAUGGCAAAGAGUCAAAUCAGUUUAGAAGUGUCUGUCCCAUAUCUAGGUGAUGCUUCAACCCCUGUUGGCACAUCUACCUCCAUGCUUCUGUUUGUAUGGGUUACAACCUUCAGAUGGGUCUUAUAAUUGUGGGGUCAAAGAGGGAAAAGUAACUAUGUUCGGGAGUCAAUUUUACAAAAUGUUCAUAGUUUGUAGGCCAAACCGUUCUGACGCUAGAUGUUUUUGAGACUGCAUUUUGAGGUGUCUGACCAACACAUCUGUAGCUCGGCCCCUGUCCACCGCAGAUGCGUAAGGGCGACAGGCGGAUGCAGUGGAUUGAGACUCAGCCCAUUCUAAAUGUUCUAGCUUCAACUGGAUUUUGAUGGGCCUCAAUACUCUUCACCUGUAUCCCAUUCCUCCUAGUCCAUUUAUUGUACCACAGGUUCCUAUAGAAUGGAUUCGGUGUAUUUGAUUUAUGAUGCCUAGAGCGGUUUAACCUAUCAAAUAACAAAUAUAUUCUGUACAGACUGUCUUCAAACAUGUACAUUUUCUUAACCAGUUAUUAAUCAUACUUCAUAGUAUGAGAAUUCAGCCCUUAAAUGGAUCCAUUAAGUUCCAAAGAGGAAGCUGGUAGGCACUAGCAUGACAGUUUAACUAGCAUAAGAUGUCACCCAGGACUUUUUGUAAACUUGACAUAUUUGCCUGUUGUAGUUGACUAUUUGGACACAGACUCAUGAACACGAAUGAAAUUGUAUAUGCAUUGAAUUUUCUACAAGGAGUUACACUUUGUUGGACGAUCUCUUGUCUAGCGUACCUCAACAUACUUAGUUUAAUUUGUCACGGUAUGGAAUUUUUGGACACAAUCUCAGUGUACAGCCUUUUUGCACAACACAUUUCUUCCCGGACCACUGAGGUUGCACCUGCAAAAGCCUCUGUCAGGAACUUCAUUAGCCUGCAUUAAAAGGUGCACUUGAUUAAGCUCACCCAGUGCAAUGGCUAGUUAGAUUUCCCUCUAUAAAACCAUCGGAUUGGUCCACGAUCCUCUAGACCCAAAUUGCUACAGACGCAAUCUAUCCUGCCUUUCUAAGGUCUUCAAAAGCCAAGUCAACAAACAGAUUACCGACCGUUUCGAAUCCCACCGUACCUUCUCAGCUACGCAAUCAUGGUUUCAAUGUUGGUCAUGGGUGCACCUCAGCCACGCUCAAGGUCCUGAACGAUAUAACCGCCAUCGAUAAGAGAUAUUACUGUGCAGCCGUAUUCAUCGACCUGGCCAAGGCUUUCGACUCUGUCAAUUACCACAUUCUUAGUGGCAGACUCAACAGCCUUGGUUUCUCAAAUGAUUGCCUCGCCUGGUUCACCAACUAUUUCUCUGAUAUAGAGUUCAGUGUGUCAAAUCGGAGGGCCUGUUGUCCGGACCUCUUGCAGUCUCUAUGGGGGUGCCACAGGGUUCAAUUCUCGGGCUGACUCUUCUCUGAUGUCUCUCUCGCUGCUGGUGAUUCUCUGAUCCACCUCUGCAGACGACACCAUUCUGUAUACUUCUGGCCCUUCUUUGGACACUGUUAACUAACCUCCAGAUGAGCUUCAAAGCCAUACAACUCUCCUUCCGUGGCCUCCAACUGCUCUUAAAUGCAAGUAAAACUAAAUGCAUGCUCUUCAACCGAUCACUGCCCACACCUGCCCGCUUGUCCAGCAUCACUACUCUGGAUGGUUCUGACUUAGAAUAUGUGGACAAGUACAAAUACCUAGGUGUCUGGCUAGAAUGUAAAUUCUCCUUCCAGACUCACAUUAAGCAUCUCCAAUCCAAUAUUAAAUCUAGAAUCCGCUUCCUAUUUCGCAAAAAAGCCUCCUUCACUCAUGCUGCCAAACAUACCCUCGUAAAACUGACUAUCCUACCGAUCCUUGACUUUGGUGAUGUCAUCUAUAAAAUAGCCUCCAUCACUCUACUCAACAAAUGUGAUG